rnacentral:rRNA from 1 species
GCUAAACGCGAAGAACCUUACCAAGGCUUGACAUAUACGAGAACGCUCUAGAAAUAGAGAACUCUUUGGACACUCGUAUACAGGUGGUGCAUGGUUGUCGUCAGCUCGUGUCGUGAGAUGUUGGGUUAAGUCCCGCAACGAGCGCAACCCUCGUUCUAUGUUGCCAGCACGUAAUGGUGGGAACUCAUAGGAGACUGCCGGGGUCAACUCGGAGGAAGGUGGGGAUGACGUCAAAUCAUCAUGCCCCUUAUGUCUUGGGCUUCACGCAUGCUACAAUGGCCGGUACAAAGGGCUGCAAUACCGCAAGGUGGAGCGAAUCCCAAAAAGCCGGUCUCAGUUCGGAUUGAGGUCUGCAACUCGACCUCAUGAAGUCGGAGUCGCUAGUAAUCGCAGAUCAGCAACGCUGCGGUGAAUACGUUCCCGGGUCUUGUACACACCG